AACGAACGCUGGCGGCAGGCUUAACACAUGCAAGUCGAACGCCCCGCAAGGGGAGUGGCAGACGGGUGAGUAACGCGUGGGAAUCUACCUAGUUCUACGGAACAACAGUUGGAAACGACUGCUAAUACCGUAUACGCCCUAUGGGGGAAAGAUUUAUCGGAAUUAGAUGAGCCCGCGUAAGAUUAGCUAGUUGGUGAGGUAAUGGCUCACCAAGGCGACGAUCGUUAGCUGGUCUGAGAGGAUGAUCAGCCACACUGGGACUGAGACACGGCCCAGACUCCUACGGGAGGCAGCAGUGGGGAAUAUUGGACAAUGGGCGCAAGCCUGAUCCAGCCAUGCCGCGUGAGUGAUGAAGGCCUUAGGGUUGUAAAGCUCUUUCAGUAGGGAAGAUAAUGACGGUACCUACAGAAGAAGCCCCGGCUAAUUUCUUUCCAGCCGCCGCAGUAAGAC
rnacentral:rRNA from 1 species